rnacentral:lncRNA from 10 species
GGAGCAGUGAGGGCACCAGCUAUAAUGUUCUGUGAUUCUCUACCACACUUAGGACCUGCAGAGACACACAGCCUCUCCACUUCAGCUCCACUGGCUCCCAUGGUACACUUUGGCUCUACCAGGCAUGCUCUUGCCUUAAGACAUUUGUGCUCACUGUCCUCUCUACCUGGGUCCCUCUUACCCUAGAGAGCCUUCUGGCAGGCUUCAUUCUCUCAUUUCUUCACAUCUUUGCUCUAAAGUAACUUCACCUUCAGGAACUUUUGCCUGACCACCCUACUACAAAUUGCAACCCUCCCCACUCUCCAUGCUAAUGUAGUUUUACUAUAGUGGGCAUUGCCGUCUACCUUCCUACAUAACUUACUAAUGAGAGGGACACCAUUGGCACUGCAUUCCCUGUUGAAUGACGCCCCCUGGAACACAGCUUUAUAGACUUCAAUGUGAAUAGUGCCCCCUAGAAUUGUUCAAGUUGGCAGUACAGAGCCUAAUAUUUGUUGAAAAGAGGCCACAGGCGAUCUACUCUCUCUGCUCAUCUUCCUGAUCCAGUGGCCUCUGAAAUCCUUCUGGCGGCUUCUAAUUGUAAACCUUCUCAUACUUGAAACCUUCCCUGUGUCAGGAUGAGGAAGCUCGUAUGAAGAGUGGGCUGAUUCCAUUUGUUUGCAGUUUAUGAUCAAAUUUGGACAUCUUAUUUCGAAGCGAUAUAAGAAAGGCACUUGAUAAGCUGUCUGCAGCAGUUUCUCCUAAGGGGUCUGCCAAAAACGGUGUGGGAUUUCAGGGUCUGGUUUUCUUUGCCUUCUCCAGGUCUGUUACAUUUCCCAGAAUGGUUCCCAGUGCUGGAGAUAAUUCCUUUUCGGAGAACCUACAUUUCUCACCUGCUGAUUGCAAUUAGCCACUACCAGCUGGGGCCUGGUGUGCAGCUGAAAAGCUAACAAGAAGUGGAGACCACGCGGAACUCAGACAGGGCAUAGGAUGUGCAUAAAUAAGCAACGGUGCCUGUGUUUAUGAGAUGCUCCUGUGAAUUCGAGGCUUCCCCACCCUCUGCAUAACUCUCCCUCUUCUGGCUUUGUGCUGCACACCCCUCCCCUAACUAUAUUUUUUGUCUCUGGUUUUGUAGCCUACGUUUAACAUCACAGUCACGAAUUUACCACUAAGUACAUUUUGUUAGGCAAUAAACAGCCUUGGAAGAAAAAUGAAAUCCGACUAGGACUUCUGUUCUAAUAAUGUCUGUGAGCUGUGGUGGAUUCAGGCAGGCCCCACAUGCAGGUCUUAGAGCUAACCUUGACCAUGAGGGCUAGUGGGGCUGGGAGAGGGCUCAGGGACCCCAAUUCAACUCCCUUAUUUUAUGGGGGAGGAUACUGAAUCCCAGAACGGGAGCAUGGCCUGUCCAAAGUCUUAAAGGAAGUCACAGGACUGGAU